AAUUUUACUCUUUGUUGCUGAAUCAAAGUUGUAGAUCACUUCGAGCUAAUGAAUUUGGGCACAAAAAUCACUUGAUUUGGAGUUCAGAGCUAUGAGUUAUGGUCUUUUUGUAGAUCACUUCGAGCUAAUGAAUUUGAGAACAAAAAUCGCUCAAUUUGGAGUUCGGAGCUAUGAGUUACGCCUUAAACAAGUUCAGCACUAUUGUUGUAUCUUGUGUUGCGCUGCUGCCGUGAUUGGCUUGCUUGCCUUGUUGCUGUCAUUAUUUUGGUAUUCCUUUACAUGUGAAGGUAUAAGCUAAUUUUUCUUAAUCCCUCAUCUCCUUUAUUCCAAUUCAAGUGUGGUGCAAUUGGAUUUUAUAUUCUGAUUUUAGAAAUAAACUUGGUUCUCAAUUUUGUUAUUAAUUAGCAAAUAUAAUUAUGAUAAGAAUUGUUAAACUUAAAGAUUGAAUAUUUUAUCUUUCUUAUUGGAUUGAAGCUUCUAAUAUGAAGUAAGCCUCUUAAGUAAGUUUAUAAAAACUGAUUUAAUAAAUUAUGUCGUUUGAUAAUACUCUUUGAAAUCAGAAUGAUGUUAAUUAGAGAUGGAAUUGAUGUUGUGAGUUGGAUUAGUAGAAUGGGUUGUAUAUAAGAGUUGUGGUGGUUAGUUCAUGGAAGAGCUUAGAAAGUAUGAGUAAUUCAAUUUGUUUAUCUAAAUUGUUGUGAGGAUGGUUAAUGAUUGUUGUUAUUGUUUUGAGGUCGAUGUUGGAGUAUGUAUAUGGAGAUAAUUUAUGAAGUUCGAGCUAUAGUUGGUUAUCCAGAAUGUCGAAUUAUUGGGAAUCGUGUAAAGAGUUCAUUGUUAGUGAUUUGCAGGGUUGAUGUCGAGGUCGUGGAAUAUGAUUAUUGAUCAAGAAGAAGAGUUUUAUGCUAUGAAAUGGUGGGCUGAGGUUAAAGUUAGAUGUUUUGUUUCAAAGUAUUCGUAAUCUGUUAUUUGGUUUUCAAGUUGUUAUAUUGUGGGCCCCUGACCCACAGAUCCAGGAUCGUUUUUAUAGGUUUUGUUUCCGCUGUAAAUAAAUGCAAAUUCGAGGUUUGUUAAGUGUUGAUUGUGUUUUGUGUAUCUUAACUGUGAUUAGUUAGCAGCUCGGAAGUGCGGGCUGUUACAGGUGUGAAUAAAUGUAAAUUCGAGGUUUGUUAAGUGUUGAUUAUGUUUUGUGUAUCUUAAUUGUGAUUAGUUAGCAGCUCGAAAGUGCGGGCUGUUACAGGUGGUAUCAGAGCAUGGUUGUUUUAGAGUUGUCCUGAUCUUCAUAUCAUGGCAUACGAGUUAAGAAAGAUAUUUGGGAUUGUUCGAAAUUGCUUAGGGUUAUUGGUUGGUUAAGAGUUGAGGAAUAGAGAUUGAGAUGUUGAAGGUUCAAUAUUGAGAUUGAAAAUUUGUAAAAGUGAAAAGUUUUGUUGGAGUUUAGCU